rnacentral:rRNA from 1 species
UACGUAGGGGGCAAGCGUUGUCCGGAAUCAUUGGGCGUAAAGAGCGUGUAGGCGGCCAGAUAAGUCCGCUGUGAAAACUCGAGGCUCAACUUCGAGCUGUCGGCGGAAACUAUCUGGCUAGAGUCCGGAAGAGGAGAGUGGAAUUCCUGGUGUAGCGGUGAAAUGCGCAGAUAUCAGGAAGAACACCUAUGGCGAAGGCAGCUCGCUGGGACGGUACUGACGCUGAGGCGCGAAAGCGUGGGGAGCGAACAGGAUUAGAUCCGUACGUAGUCA